GGAAUAUUGGGCAAUGGGCGAAAGCCUGACCCAGCAACGCCGCGUGAGUGAAGAAGGCCUUCGGGUUGUAAAGCUCUGUUAUAGGGGACGAAGGAAGUGACGGUACCCUAUAAGGAAGCCCCGGCUAACUACGUGCCAGCAGCCGCGGUAAUACGUAGGGGGCGAGCGUUGUCCGGAAUGACUGGGCGUAAAGGGCGUGUAGGCGGCCUGAUAAGUCUGGAGUGAAAGUCCUGCUUUUAAGGUGGGAAUUGCUUUGGAUACUGUCGGGCUUGAGUGCGGAAGAGGUAAGUGGAAUUCCCAGUGUAGCGGUGAAAUGCGUAGAGAUUGGGAGGAACACCAGUGGCGAAGGCGACUUACUGGGCCGUAACUGACGCUGAGGCGCGAAAGCGUGGGGAGCGAACA
rnacentral:rRNA from 1 species